UACAGAGGUGGCAAGCGUUGUUCGGAAUUACUGGGCGUAAAGGGCGAGUAGGUGGCCAUCUAAGUCAGACGUGAAAUCCCCCGGCUUAACCUGGGAACUGCGUCUGAUACUGGACGGCUUGAGUAUGGGAGAGGAACGUAGAAUUCCAGGUGUAGCGGUGAAAUGCGUAGAUAUCUGGAGGAACACCGGUGGCGAAGGCGGCUCACUGGACCGGUUCUGACGCUGAGGCGCGAAAGCGUGGGGAGCAAACGGG
rnacentral:rRNA from 1 species